AACGAACGCUGGCGGCAGGCCUAACACAUGCAAGUCGAACGCCCUAGCAAUAGGGAGUGGCAGACGGGUGAGUAACACGUGGGAACCUUCCCUAUAGUACGGAAUAGCCCAGGGAAACUUGGAGUAAUACCGUAUACGCCCGAGAGGGGAAAGAUUUAUCGCUAUAGGGUGGGCCCGCGUCGGAUUAGCUAGUUGGUGAGGUAACGGCUCACCAAGGCAACGAUCCGUAGCUGGUUUGAGAGAAUGACCAGCCACACUGGGACUGAGACACGGCCCAGACUCCUACGGGAGGCAGCAGUGGGGAAUCUUGGACAAUGGGCGCAAGCCUGAUCCAGCCAUGCCGCGUGAGUGAUGAAGGCCUUAGGGUUGUAAAGCUCUUUUGCCGGGGACGAUAAUGACGGUACCCGGAGAAUAAGUCCCGGCUAACUUCGUGCCAGCCGCCGCAGUAA
rnacentral:rRNA from 1 species